rnacentral:rRNA from 1 species
UACGUAGGGCGCAAGCGUUAUCCGGAAUUAUUGGGCGUAAAGAGCUCGUAGGCGGUUUGUCGCGUCUGCCGUGAAAGUCCGGGGCUCAACUCCGGAUCUGCGGUGGGUACGGGCAGACUAGAGUGAUGUAGGGGAGACUGGAAUUCCUGGUGUAGCGGUGAAAUGCGUUGAUAUCAGGAGGAACACCCAUGGCGAAGGCAGCAUACUGGCCGGCAUCUGACGCUGAGGCGCGAAAGCGUGGGUAGCAAACAGG